rnacentral:tRNA from 1 species
GCACCGUUCGACUAUCGGUUAGGUCGCCACCCUUUCAAGGUGGAAAGAUGGGUUCGAUUCCCAUACGGUGUACCA